rnacentral:rRNA from 1 species
CUCCUGGAAACGGGUGGUAAUGCCGGAUGUUCCACAUGAGCGCAUGCGAGUGUGGGAAAGGCUUUUUGCGGCAUGGGAUGGGGUCGCGUCCUAUCAGCUUGUUGGUGGGGUAACGGCCUACCAAGGCGUUGACGGGUAGCCGGCCUGAGAGGGCGACCGGCCACAUUGGGACUGAGAUACGGCCCAGACUCCUACGGGAGGCAGCAGUGGGGAAUAUUGCACAAUGGGCGCAAGCCUGAUGCAGCGACGCCGCGUGCGGGAUGGAGGCCUUCGGGUUGUAAACCGCUUUUGUUCAAGGGCAAGGCACGGUUUCGGCCGUGUUGAGUGGAUUGUUCGAAUAAGCACCGGCUAACUACGUGCCAGCAGCCGCGGUAAUACGUAGGGUGCAAGCGUUAUCCGGAUUUAUUGGGCGUAAAGGGCUCGUAGGCGGUUCGUCGCGUCCGGCGUGAAAGUCCAUCGCUUAACGGUGGAUCCGCGCCGGGUACGGGCGGGCUUGAGUGCGGUAGGGGAGACUGGAAUUCCCGGUGUAACGGUGGAAUGUGUAGAUAUCGGGAAGAACACC